rnacentral:rRNA from 1 species
GGACUACUGGGGUAUCUAAUCCUGUUUGCUCCCCACGCUUUCGUGCAUGAGCGUCAGUCUUGACCCAGGGGGCUGCCUUCGCCAUCGGUGUUCCUCCACAUCUCUACGCAUUUCACUGCUACACGUGGAAUUCUACCCCCCUCUGCCAGACUCCAGCCUUGCAGUCUCCAACGCAAUUCCCAGGUUAAGCCCGGGGAUUUCACGUCAGACUUACAAAACCGCCUGCGCACGCUUUACGCCCAGUAAUUCCGAUUAACGCUUGCACCCUACGUAUUACCGCGGCUGCUGGCAC